ACAAGCGAGCGGCGGACGGGUGAGUAACACGUGGGUAACCUGCCCAAGAGACUGGGAUAACACCUGGAAACAGAUGCUAAUACCGGAUAACAACACUAGACGCAUGUCUAGAGUUUGAAAGAUGGUUCUGCUAUCACUCUUGGAUGGACCUGCGGUGCAUUAGCUAGUUGGUAAGGUAACGGCUUACCAAGGCAAUGAUGCAUAGCCGAGUUGAGAGACUGAUCGGCCACAUUGGGACUGAGACACGGCCCAAACUCCUACGGGAGGCAGCAGUAGGGAAUCUUCCACAAUGGACGAAAGUCUGAUGGAGCAACGCCGCGUGAGUGAAGAAGGGUUUCGGCUCGUAAAGCUCUGUUGGUAGUGAAGAAAGAUAGAGGUAGUAACUGGCCUUUAUUUGACGGUAAUUACUUAGAAAGUCACGGCUAACUACGUGCCAGCAGCCGCGGUAAUACGUAGGUGGCAAGCGUUGUCCGGAUUUAUUGGGCGUAAAGCGAGUGCAGGCGGUUCAAUAAGUCUGAUGUGAAAGCCUUCGGCUCAACCGGAGAAUUGCAUCAGAAACUGUUGAACUUGAGUGCAGAAGAGGAGAGUGGAACUCCAUGUGUAGCGGUGGAAUGCGUAGAUAUAUGGAAGAACACCAGUGGCGAAGGCGGCUCUCUGGUCUGCAACUGACGCUGAGGCUCGAAAGCAUGGGUAGCGAACAGGAUUAGAUACCCUGGUAGUCCAUGCCGUAAACGAUG
rnacentral:rRNA from 1 species